CACGUAGGGUGCGAGCGUUGUCCGGAAUUAUUGGGCGUAAAGAGCUCGUAGGCGGUGUGUCGCGUCGGCCGUGAAAACCUGCAGCUUAACUGUGGGCUUGCGGUCGAUACGGGCAUCACUGGAGUUCGGCAGGGGAGACUGGAAUUCCUGGUGUAGCGGUGAAAUGCGUAGAUAUCAGGAGGAACAUCCGUGGCGAAGGCGGCUCUCUGGGACGGUACUGACGCUGAGACGCGAAAGCGUGGGGAGCGAACAGG
rnacentral:rRNA from 1 species